rnacentral:lncRNA from 1 species
AAGUUCGAAGUAAAGUAGCUCGUGGCAGGAGGGAGUCUGAAAGAGAUUCGGAGAAUAGUCGAUCACUGUAGAAAAUCGACUGAUAGUGAAGCUCAGAAAUCAUUUGGAGUAGCCCGGUAUAUGAAUGGAGGAGCUCAUCAUCGGAGAAGUUCGGAUGGUAUUAUGGAAGCUCGAAUGAUCGAGGGAGUUCAGAAAGAUGCCACACAAGGUCGGA